ACGCUCGACACCUACUGGAGGCAGCAGUGGGGAAUAUUGCACAAUGGGGGAAACCCGUGAUGCAGCGACGCCGCGUGGAGGAAGAAGGUCUUCGGAUUGUAAACUCCUGUUGUUGGGGAAAAGAGGAUGGUACCCAACAAGGAAGUGACGGCUAACUACGUGCCUGCAGCCGCGGUAAUCUGAGCGGGCUGGCAAGGC
rnacentral:rRNA from 1 species